CACUGACUCGUGGAGCCCAGCCGUAGGUCGUCCCCAACCUCCCGCUCAACCCGCAUGGGAUAGAGCCGCCGCGCCACGCUCCCACAACCGCCGGCCGCAGCCCUCGUGGAGGAUGCUUAUCCGCAGCCCCGCGCCUCCUCUCCGUGCCUAUAAAAGCCCCGAGACACCUUCAUCCGAUCCCGCCCCUCCUCUACUCAGCACGUCGCCCGCAGCCUCCAUCCUCUUCGUGUGCAUCUCGCCGGAGCCAAGCCGUUCCGCCAAGGAUUUCGUCGCCGGUCCCGCUGGAGCCGCUGCCCCGACGCGUCGCACCGGAGCUCAGAGCCUCCGCCUUCGCCUCGCCCCGUCCCGACCCCGCCGACGCCCCACUCCAGCACCACCCGAAGGCCCGCGUCGCGCUCGACCUGGCCGUACCCUCCGCUGCCGCCGGAGCCGCCACCCAGCCCGUCACCCAGACCGCGUUGCCGUCCUUUGUUCAUCGUCAUUGCUGCUAUGUUCAUCGGAGAGUGAUGAAUAGUUCUAUUAAGUAAACUUCUGAGAGCGAUAUAAUCUUCAUCAACCAUUACCAGGCAAGUUC